CUUAGAAUAGGGGUUGAAAGUAUGACACUGUACAGUGGCCAUUACUUUCAUUACUACAAAAACGGGAAUCCCUGCACACAGGUUCCACCUGAAAUUUCCGGCCCUCCGUCGUGGAAGUGCUCCGUGCAUGAUUAAGGCUCUGUUGAGCCGAAACGUUGCACUUUAUGAGGUGGUGAACCCAGAAAUAAAUUUACCUUCUGGAUCCUGGAGUGUUGCC